CCUACGGGAGGCAGCAGUGGGGAAUAUUGGACAAUGGGCGCAAGCCUGAUCCAGCGACGCCGCGUGAGUGAUGAAGGCCUUCGGGUUGUAAAGCUCUGUUGAGGGAGAAGAAAAAAGCUGGGAGUAACUGCCUGGUUCUUGACGGUAUCCCUUUAGAAAGCACCGGCUAACUCUGUGCCAGCAGCCGCGGUAAU
rnacentral:rRNA from 1 species